UUCGUAAAUAGAGGUGCAACAAGAAGGUAAUACAAUUAUGCUAAGAGUAAGAACACUCGAUGAAUUGUACUAAUGUCUUUGUUGCCGAAGAGACUUAUUCGUUCUUGGAUAUUUCUUUGGUGGUAAUGUUCAGCACUUACCAUUGCCAUGUUAAUCAUGGAGCGCUAUUUACGUC
rnacentral:ncRNA from 2 species